rnacentral:lncRNA from 1 species
AAGAAAGUAUGUUACUAAACCAGCCAUUUUCCAUUGAAAAAUCAGUUCUGAUGUGCUGGAAGAAAGAUAAUUACUCUUUGGAAUGCGCAUAUAUAUAAUUUCUGCUCUGAAAGCGUCCCAAUGUAACUAUGAGGCGAAGUCAAAGAACUUGUUUCUCGCAUCAUCCCUGUUACUGCUUGAGACACCAGAGAGAGUUUAAUGUAAGUCAGAAGUCUUCUUUCAUCUUAUGGCUGUGCAAUCUGGAAUAUGA